UUUAACGGCCGCGGUAUUUUAACCGUGCAAAGGUAGCGCAAUCACUUGUCCUUUAAAUGAAGACCUGUAUGAAUGGCAUAACGAGGGCUUUACUGUCUCCCCUUUCUAGUCAAUGAAAUUGAUCUGCCCGUGCAGAAGCGGACAUAAUACUAUAAGACGAGAAGACCCUUUGGAGCUUAAGAUACGCGCCAACUAUGUUAUAAGCUUUUAACUAGCCUUAAACUUAAUAGAAAUGGCCCACGUCUUCAGUUGGGGCGACAAUGGAGAAGAACAAAACCUCCACGCGGCAUGGAACACCUCCCAAAAUUAAGAGCCACCUCUCUAAACCUCAGAAUUUCUGACCAAUAGAUCCGGCAACCGCCGAUCAACGAACCAAGUUACCCAAGGGAUAACAGCGCAAUCCUCUUCUAGAGUCCCUAUCGACAAGAGGGUUUACGACCUCGAUGUUGGAUCAGGAUAUCCUAAUGGUGCAGCCGCUAUUAAGGGCUCGUUUGUUCAACGAUUAAAAUCCUAC
rnacentral:rRNA from 1 species